GAUUAACGCUGGCGGCGUGCAUAACACAUGCAAGUCGAACGAUGAAACUUAAAUGAUUUCUUCGGAAUGAACUUAAGUGGAUUAGUGGCGGACGGGUGAGUAACGCGUGAGUAACCUGCCUUACACAAGGGGAUAGCCGUUGGAAACGACGAAUAAUACCCUAUGAUGUUUCUAUCUCGCAUGAGAUAUUAACCAAAGUGUUAGCGGUGUAAGAUGGACUUGCGUCUGAUUAGCUAGUUGGUGAGAAAAAAGCCCACCAAGGCAACGAUCAGUAGCCGGCUUGAGAGAGUGUACGGCCACAUUGGGACUGAGACACGGCCCAGACUCCUACGGGAGGCAGCAGUGGGGAAUUUUGCACAACGGGGGAAACCCUGAUGCAGCGACGCCGCGUGAUUUAGAAGGCCUUCGGGUUGUAAAAAUCUUUUGUAUAGGAAGAAAAUGACAGUACUAUACGAAUAAGGUCCGGCUAAUUACGUG
rnacentral:rRNA from 1 species